rnacentral:rRNA from 1 species
AACGAACGAGGGAGGGAGGAGGAACACAGGCAAGUCGAACGAGACCUUCGGGUCUAGUGGCGCACGGGUGCGUAACGCGUGGGAACCUGCCCUUAGGUUCGGAAUAAAUCCCCGAAAGGGGUGGUAAUACCGGAUAAUGUCUUCGGACCAAAGAUUUAUCGCCUUUGGAUGGGCCCGCGUUGGAUUAGCUAGUUGGUCGGGUAAAAGCCUACCAAGGCGACGAUCCAUAGCUGGUCUGAGAGGAUGAUCAGCCACACUGGGACUGAGACACGGCCCAGACUCCUACGGGAUGCAGCAGUGGGGAAUAUUGGACAAUGGGCGAAAGCCUGAUCCAGCAAUGCCGCGUGAGUGAUGAUGGCCUUAGGGUUGUAAAGCUCUUUUACCCGGGAUGAUACUGACAGUACCGGGAGAAUAAGCACCGGCUACCUCCGUG